rnacentral:lncRNA from 1 species
AUGAGUCUAAGUCUCCUCUGCCUUAGCCCCCACCGGCCCGGGAGCGCACUGGGCGCCCCCUUCCUGGAAACCCCUCCCAACGCCUUCAGCCCACUAUGGGGACGGGAGGGGAGGUGGAGUGCCGUCGCAAGCCGGGGACCCAGUGGGCAGCCCUUCCGUUCGGGUCCGCCACCCGGACAGACGUCCCCCAGCCUCGGCCCCAAGACCGAGCCUACGCAGUCUGGUUCCCGGCUCUCAGGGGUCCCCACCGCAAUCCCUGCUCCCAAGCCACCUCAGCCGAGUCGGCGAGCGCGCCAGGGCAUCGGCGCCAAAGGCAGCCCCCGCCGGGAAGGCAGCCCCAAGGCCGGCCGCAGCGGGCUCGGUGUGUGGGUGGGGAGCCGCGCGUACCUCGGCGGGCGGCGGGAGAGGAAGGCCGGAGCGCGACCGCCUCUGGUCCGUUCGCCGGGCUCGACUGGCAGCGGGCGGGGCUCCGCGGGGCUGGCGCCCGCAGGACACAAAAGUGACUCGGGAAGUGGCCAGAUGUCUUGCUGUCUGUCUACAGCGCGCGCCGCCGCUCAGCACUCGCCUUUAUAAUCUCACGCAUAAUUGGCCUUAAUCUGAUUAUUUCCAGCGCUGUCUACAGCGAGUAACUUGGAUAGGUCUACUGGGCCUUACAAAUGGCCCACGUGGUGUAAAAAAAAAAAAUCCGUCAUUUCUUAGCAAACAUCAGGAAUGCCUUUCCUCUUUUCUUUUAGAAGGUUGAAACAAUCACCACUACCACCGCCCCCAAAAGGCAUUAUUCUCUGACCACUCCACCCCACCCCCACCCCGACUUCCCUCUGCCUCAAACCUUUUUUCUCCGCAGGAGCUUGACUUUAGGCUCCCCUUGUCAGAGGCCUGGUGACUCCCGGGCUGCAAAUUGACAAAGAGCUGCUAAUUGUCGCCACCGGAUGGGUUUUGGGGGGACUCUUUGCACACGGCUUCCCUUUCCAAGCGACCGUACAAAAGGAAAGUUUGAUUUUGUUCUCAGCAAGGGGUCCCUGAAUUUAUGUUCGCUUCUCCAUGCAAAUGAUAUGCGCUGGGACCCUUCGCAAUUACUUUUAAAAUGCAUCCGAGGCAGACACUCAGCGGAGAGAGACCGCCCUUCCCUCUGCCUGGGUGAAAAUUAAACUCUAAAGUACCGGGCUGAAAUUUUCAAGUCAGGGGCGCAGGAUUGGAUCAAAUCACAUAAACUGCAAAAAAAGCAAGUCUAAUGGCGCAUAAUUGGUUCUGUAAUAGCAUUACGCUAGGAUAAUAGCCCGUUACGGCCCCCUGCACUAUUAAGUGCUUCCCUGGCGGAAAGCCUUUAUGAUAUUAAAGGGGGAAUAUAAUGAUAUUUUGGUUAUUAAAUGCGUGUAAUUAAUUUAUGCACCACUGAAAAUAAAGUUGGUAUUAUGACCCACUCAAGAUGCAUCAGAAGAUGCUAGUCAGACAACUGUUGAUAAGUUCUGGUGUCUGUGUUCCGUCUAGACUGCUGAUUUUAUUUUGGGACGAUGGCUUCUUGGACAGACUGCAUAAAUUGAAUAUUUUAUAAACAUUCUAAUGCUGCGUUCAGGAUCCCUGGCGAGGCAGUAGGUCGGGUCCCUGCAUCGCCUGGGAUCCAGCCUUGAUCUUAAAGACACAGUGAGUGGGAAACAAAAGGCCUGGGGGCCCACGCGUGGACACCCACCCCCAAGGAAGGCGCAUCGAGCUGGAGGGCAUAUUGAGGGCCCUGGACCACCCGUGGAUGGCCCUCUGAAAACCGCCGGGAGGAAGAGGCAGGACCGCUUCCGCAGAGACAAAUCGGGGCCGCUGCACUUCAGCGGCCCCUCCUGGGCUCAGCCCACCCAGGCGCAGAAAGCCGACCUCAUCUCAAGGAAGAAACCACUGGAAACGCUGGCUGGAUUCUGAGCGGAGAGAGCCCGUGGCGCCAGCUUCGCCAGGGCCACCGACUCCAGGAGACCAGGCGACCCCCCCGCCGGGAGCGCGGGGGCGGGGGGCGCAAUGGCAGGCUGGGCUGGCGGGGUAGUGGGGGAGCCAUUUCCACUCCAUCCAGAAAGGGCUAGAGCCCUGAGAACCGACCCUGUUUCAGCCCAGGCCAGGAAGCUCAGCGCGCUCUCUCUCUGUACACCUCAGAGCACCCGCGCUCUCCGGAGUUCUUUUCGAAAGUCGGAGUCUCCCCCUUGGGUGCCUGGGUCUUCCAAAAGCCCCCUCAAACUCCUACUUACCCUAGGCGGCCUCCUGCAAGCACCCUGCGCGUUUCGGAGCUGAGUGCCUGAGAAACGAGGUGAGGAAAACAUCUGGGCUGGCUCCACAAGAUGCUCCAAGGAGCACCUGAGUAUCUGUGUAGGAACCGUAGGAACUAGGCGCCCAGCGCCGCGUUGGCCCCCAAAACCAACGAGGUCCAAGCCCGUCUCAGGUCCCCAUUCCUGACAUCGGCCGAAGCAGUUUCCUGUCAAGGCCCAGAGAUGUCCUGGGCACUGGACAGGCUUGGCUCAGGCAGGGCGCUCCCCGAGCCUCCUGUGGUCAGAACCCUGGACAGCGGCACCUGUUUCUACCGGGAUGCUAAGGGAAGCGACCAGUCACAAGGUCCCCUCUGCGGCCCUGUGCUCCGCGGCGGCGGGGUGCACCCGCCAGAUUCUGGGGGGUGGGAGCCGGUCCCAAUCCUCUUCUUGUCCCCAACGAGACCAAUCCUCUUCUUGUCCCAAACGAGAAAGUUACUUGGGACGCUCGCUCAGUGCUCGCAGCAGGGGCGGAACUCUCCGUUCCUCAGCCCAAAGCCCAGCUUCUGGCCCGCGGCGCCAGCCGGGAAGCGUCCCACUGCCGCUCUCCGUCUAGUCCCGGCCUUCCCAGCGUCCCGCACCCGAGCCUGGCUGUCUCCCCGCUGGGACACUUGGCCGGGCUCCUGCAAAACACUCACCCAGAGCGGGGCUCAGAGCCAGCGGGACCCUCGGCCUCGUUUCCCCGAAGUUCCUCUCCCCCAGCCUCGAGGCCGGGCUCGUUCCUCUUGGCGAAACAGCGAAUAGCCAACCAAGCAAUCACGGAAAGGAAAGGCUACAGCAAACUUUGGUGACGGCUCUUUUUCCCUCGGAUUGUCUCCGACCCUCCGGGCCGGGACCGGCAAGAGGUGACUAACACAUAUUGCUACCAUUUCUUUCCCCUCUAAAAAAGAGCUUCGGUAACGAAAAGGUUAUUUUUUCUUAAUUCCUGUGCGGUAAAAUGUAUUUUCCAAUUAACCAAAUUCACCGAUCUGUCCCGCUUGGACACUCUGAUAAUUUACAACCUAAAAGUGUACUUUCUUUAUCUAAAGACCAAGGUGACUGCUUUUAAUUUUCUCUAACCUCUUUACACUUGAUGUUCACCAGACUCAUAAUGUUAAUUGGCUUCAUAUACGGAUCAUCAGUUUAAUGAAGAAAUAAAUCCUGUGUUGCUUUAUGUUUUAACAGUGAUUGCUUUAAUGAGGAAUGUGACGUGUUCCAAAAUCAAAGCUGCAGGAGAUAUUAGAGGGGGCUUCUCUUAGGACGGGAAUGCUUAUUUAAAGUUAAAACCACGGGUCAUAUUUCAACAGAUUCUAUCAGCGCGGGCCUUCCCCACUCCCACCUGGGUUGCUUCCAGUCUCUAGAAGGAUGCAAUUGUGCAGUUGGUCCUCAAAGGCUCCUGCUCUGUAUUUAACACACAGCAGCUGCAGUCUCCAUUCUCUCUAAGAAUCAUUUUCUAGUUACUAAACUGGCAUGCUACCUUACCUCCUGUCCAGCAGAGCAAAGAGAAGCUGGAACAGAGUAGUGAGUUCAACUUUCAAGGUUGUUCACUUAAAAAAAAAAUAAAAUCAAGUGGGAAGACAGUACCGCACAUCCUAAGAUUUGUGUGCAGCUGUUACCGAGCGGUGUCCCUAGAGCAGCGCAUCCCUCCCACUGAAAAUUCAAGCCUCCGCUCUUAAAAGAGAGACAACUUCGGCUUGGGCUGAGUGGGCAGUUGCUGACCCAGGCUCUGGCCCCUGAGAAUGUCUGCAGGGGAUGCGCGGGGCUCCUGUCUGGGUGAUGGUAGCUUUCCAUCUCCGUAUCAAUUAAUAGGAGAGUAAAUCUGCUUUCCUAAUGGGUGUUUGAUUUUUCUAAUUUUAAGCUUGUUCUCUAUGAAGAGAGAACUGUCAUCACAAAAAUACUGAGAGCAGCAAUAAAAUGCUGGAAAUUGGAACAUCUAUACCUGGAAGCCCUAAAUUGUCC